rnacentral:rRNA from 1 species
AUGGACACGAGCGAGAUUUGUCGACGAGCUCUCUGGGCCGAUCGCUCGACGCGCGGGCACGGAAUCGGAAUCGAUCACGAGGGUUGGGGGGUUGGCACGGCGAGAGAGGAACACAAGGACACGGCGGAGGAGGCUGACAGCAAAUUCAAAUUCCAAUUCCAAUUCGGUUUCGACAGUGGAGUAGAUAACAAAUUCAAGCCUGGAACUAAUCUGGAGAUAGCAAGGCUUCAGAAGUUUGAAUAUGAACUACUUCCUCCGUUGACAAAUAUAAGCUGUUCUUCUAGUAACUUCUUUCCUGAAUCAGAUGUAUAUAGACAUGUUUUACUGUGUUUUGUUCAUUUAUUUCAGUCCGUCUAA